GCUUACUCCAGCCCACCUAACCCCUUAUCAUGUUGCUCUCAGUGUUUCUCCCUCUUCUCCUGGCUGCUGUUGUCCCUCCUCCCUCUUCCUUCUGCCUCCUCCUCCCCCUGAAGGCCCUGACUACCCUAGCAAUGACCUGCCCAGCUUGCAGUACCUCCCACAUAACACCCUUGUAUCCUAUCACCACCAGGGGCUCCUAGGGGAUGAAGAGGAGACGAGAGAUCCCUAUGUCCCUCAACCUUCCUCUUCUUCUUCUUCCUCCUCCUCUUCAUCUUGUACUGUGGAUGACCUGGCGAGGUAUUUAAAUGUGGAUGACCUAUAUUAUCUCAUCGAGGUGUUGUCUAAGGUGGAAAGCGUCAGUGUUAAGGAGGUUCUCAUGAGGCUGGCUGUCAAACAUGGCCUCUAUUUGAAGGAGAAGGAACACCCAAUUAAGAAACCUGUGCGAGAAUUACAGACCAUCGGGAUACAAGAAGAAGAAGAGGAAGACUCCCAACCCUCUCUCAGAUCUCCGCUGAAUUUGCAGGAGCUUCAAUUCCACUCCCCCUCCUCCUCCUCCUCCUCCUCCUCCCCUUCCACCUCCUCCUCUUCCUCCUUCCUCCACCAGCAGCGCCGUCCUCCUCCUCCUCCACCUCCUCCAGCCCUCCAUUCCUCCCUCUGGUCUGAGGAAGCCGAAGAAAUGUACCAGCCAGUGCCCAAUGAGGUCCCAGCAGUCACUCCCCCCAGCCACCCACCCCGCGCCCUGCUGGUGGUGGUGGCAGGUGAUGGAAAGGAGACUGCGCGUUCUGAGGUAAUCCUUGGUCCUCAUAUGGCGCUUCUUGAUGUACUUAACCAAGCCAGCUUCUCCUACUCUCUUCAAUACGGCCCGUAUGCGCCCAACCCUCUGGCUGUGAAGGUUCGGCCUAUUCCCCUCUGAUCGCUGCCUAGGCCUCCUUUCAGUAGGCUCAAUCAUGGCGACACCUACAAGACCCUUACACCUGUCAGUCACCCGGACACGCCCCACGGAGAAGAAUAUAUGGGAGAGUGUAUGCCUCCCACGCGCUACAGAGCUGAUCGUACAUCGCGGCGACAUUAUCGUACUUGCGCCGCGCUGACUGAUUGGCUGACUGGACUGCCUAACCACGCCCACCUCCUCAACCCCGCUGCCUGACGCAUGAUACGAUAUAAAUCUAAGGAGUUUUUUUCUUUGUUUUGAAUGUCUUACACGGUUCCAAAAUUAUCGUAUAUUCAUGAAAGUAUGUAUAUCUUUGUUUUUCAGUGUAUUUCAGAGUAAUACGAGGAGCAAAAGAGUAAAUAAAAUAAUAUGCAAGGAGAUAAACACAAGAAAGGGUUAAAUAGGUAUUAAUGUAGGUGUUUCGUGAAUAAAGAAAGUAAUAAUU